UACGAGAGGCCCAAACGUUAUUCGGAAUUACUGGGCUUAAAGAGUCCGUAGGCGGCGCGGAAAGUGGGGUGUGAAAUCCCUCGGCUCAACCGAGGAAUUGCGCUCCAAACUGCCGUGCUUGAGGAACCUAGAGGUGAGCAGAACUGAUGGUGGAGCGGUGAAAUGCGUUGAUAUCAUCAGGAAUACCGGAGGCGAAGGCGGCUCACUGGGGGUUUUCUGACGCUGAGGGACGAAAGCCAGGGUAGCGAACGGG
rnacentral:rRNA from 2 species